UUUUAAACUUCAACUAUCCAUCAAAGACAAGGACGUUGAGUGAUGAACAAUUAAGAAUGUAGUUAAGCGUACACGGGCGUCCACUCACGUGGGCCUGUCAACCGCCCGAGUCCAAAUAGCAAAUUUAAGACAAUUAAUUUUUUUUUUUCUCUCUCGUUCACUAAAUUUGUUUCCUAAUUCUCGUCUCAAUUUUUAAUUGCUGCAAAAACCAAGUUGCAAUUUUAGGGUUCGGGAGUUCAUCUACUGCUGAUCCUUAAUAUAUUUUCUGGUUUUCCAAUUUCAUUCUGCCGAAAGAUUCUGUGAUCAUGAGCUUAAUUAUAUAACAUUUUUAUCAGCUGUGCUGGAAGUUGGAGGGACGAUUCGAGCUGUUGGGAUUUGGGGAAUUACAAAAUCGAAGCUACAGUUCACUAUCACCUUGGGCGGCUCGUGUCAAGUAUGUAUUUUUAUUAUUACUUUUUUUGUCUCUAAUUUCUCUUUAUCGUAUAUUAAGCUUGUAUAUGUAGUGUCUAUAUAUAUGCAGUUGAAAAUUAUUUCAAAAUAAUUAAUUUUAUGAAUUGAUACACGCGUAUGAUUAUUAGCUUAAAUAAAACAAUGAUGCUUCAUUUUAUGUUUGGGAAGAGAUUAUAGUCCGUUUAAAUUUUAAACCAAUGAAAUGUGUGGAUAAAAAGUAGUUUUGACAAAUUAUAAACAACCAAAUAUCAAUAUGCAAAAAAAUAUAGCUAUCCUUGUGGGUUUUUAUUGUUACCUGAUUUUAUUCUCUCUCAAUGUGUGUUGAAUGUAUAGAAAGCCGUGAAGGGGCCAUGGGCAAACUCUGUUGGUCGUGCUAAUGCUCGUGUAUUAUCAGGAAGCAAAAGAUUAUCAGCAGAUUCUUUUGGGAGCCAUUUUGAUCAUUCAUUUUCUUACUUAACAAACAGUGUCGGUUUUCAGUAACCCUCUCUAGUUAAGUCUAUGGUGCUUCCUCAAAGUGUAAAUAAUCUGAAGAUAGCUGAGGUUGAAAAUUUGAUGAUUUACACACGUCAGAAUAAAUAAUUUUAGAAUUGAGGUCAUUAUCUUUUGUUAUAUUUAGUUAUUUACAGGCUAAGAAGUGAUGUGGAACCAAGGAGCGGGAGCUCUGAACACAAUUGCCAGAAUGGAUAUAGUACUUAAAUCAGCACCUUGUAACUCUAUUGUGAUUUUAUAUCCCCAUCACAUGAUAUGCACUUCUGAACUUUUCUUCUUGUUUUAAUGCCUUCUUUGGGUAUCAAACUUGACUUAGAAGAUCCAUGAGUUGAUUUAAAAGAUUUCCGCUUGAAGCUAAUGCACAAGAGAAUAAGUAGGAUAUAGAGCACAGGAUAGAGGAGCGCAAGAAGAUGGAACUGCAUGAGAAAGUUUCAAGAGCUAUUCGGUCUCUGGAAUCGCCUGAAAGGAGCAUUUUGAAAAAAAUUUCACGAACAACAGGAGAAGCUGGGACGCCAUUAAGUUCAUAUGUUUCUUGGACUUUGGAUGGACCAAGUCGAAGGUAGUUAUGAGAUCAUCUAGUGGAAUUUUCAACCCCUAGGAUGACAACUGAUGAAGUGCGGCGAGUACAAAAUACUUUAAGCACUGGGUGUAUCUUGACAAUCAAUCUCUUGGAUCCUUCUAGAUCAACGGGCUCUCUUCUUAUGAUCUUGAGCGCCCCUGUAGAUUCUGGCAAGCUGGUUACAAGACUCCCUUCAGCAAGUGGUGGGACGUCCAGAAUCCAGAUGCCCAUAUCCCCAUACCAUGUAUAAAUCUGUCUUCUCUUAGCUUCUCUUUCGUGCUAGCAUGGGUUGUUUCUAGUAGAGACAGAAGUUAGUGGUUGAAAAUUGAGAUUUGUCUGGGUUACAUUGACUUCCUUGGUAACCAGCACUAUAUAGAAUAAAAGUACUCUAGCACGCCGUAGAUAAUGAAAUCUAAUAGGCAAAUAGAUUUUCAACCUUGUAAGCACUUAGCAGUAGUUCUUCAUGGGAUUUACUCCUUAGGCUUUUGAUGUAGAAUAGAUGGCUGAGUGGAUUGAAAAAGAAAAAAGUAAUAGUGCAAGUAUGGCAGUUGAGCUCCGAUUUGGGCCCGUAAUACUAUUCUGGAAAUCUGUUUUUAAAGUUUUAGUGCUAUUUUUAUCAUUUAGUUUAUUUUGAAUUCUUUGCAAUUUUUGUUUAAAGUAGGUUUUCAUGUAAACCCUUGUAAAUAAAGGGUUAAUUCAUCAUUUUUCUUUUUAUCAACUUUGAAUUAAUAAAAUUCGUUAGUUUUUUUCAUAAUUUGGUGGGUUACAAAAUUCAUGUUCUUUCAAUUAAGGUUUCGCUUGAAUUCCCUGUUUCACAUUUUAGGCAAGAUGCUUUAUGUAAUUAUUAUGCUAAUCGUCGCAGAGUGACUGGAUCAAAAUUGAUAAAUUUCUCUUAAGUAACCACUUAUAGUUCAAUUUUUGUGUCUAUCCUUUCAGCAGGUUGCUAUUCGCAUAAGCUAUGACUUUCGAAGAAGAUGUGGAUGGAAAUAUUUGUUAAAUUCAUAAAUGUUUAAUGUUUUAUAUCAGGAGUUGGAGUCAUAAUUAGAUUAUUCUAGAGGUAAAGAUUUCUUUUAUAGGAUUGAUGAAAACUUAGAGGGUAUUUCACUUUUCUAAAACAAACAACAGUUUGGAUUGAUAAUCGUAAAUGACUUUUCACUUAACAAUUAAUAUGCCCUAGACGCAUUUCAUCUGACACAAUGAAAUAUAUUACCUCUUGUACUAGCAGACUAACUUUGUUGUAGUAAUAAGGUUCUUUCUGAUUUUAUGUAGGACAAACAACCUCCCACUGUGAGGGGCUCGCUGCAUUCACUUGGUUGGGGAAUAUGCUAUUUCAUUUCCAGCUGGCGUUUGGGAUCACUUUCAUAGAAUAAGAAUGCAAAAACUAGUGCCUUUUUAUUUUAACUUCAUGUAGGCAUUGGUCUUGUACUGUAAGGAAAAAAUGAUUUGCCAUUCAGAUUUUGAAGUCUUGUGAUUAUUUCAUAUAUUGUUAUGAUAAUUUAAGAAUGUAUAGAUGGUAAACUGCUGAUAAAUAAUGCGAAUAACAAGAUGGUAAGCAAUAGUGGUGGUGGCAUAUCCACAAAAGUAGUUUCUUCAAGUGUUGACUUGUAGUUCACUGAAGAAUGUAGCAUUGUUAUUGUUCAUUGGCUAAUUUUUUGAUAUCGAGGCUUAUUCUAUAUUGCAGUACUGAAGCAAAUGGGCGACCAAGAUCUGAAAGAGUUGGGAAUUCCCACGGAAUUUUUUUCAUUCAUUUUUGACUAAAAUAAUUGAUCGUAGGAUGCAUGCCCCGGGCGAACCUUUUCGUGUUUAUUUGAACUGUUGUUGGUGACAGGCUAGAGGACUCAUAUUUCAUGUCACCGUCAAAUUACGCAAAAACACGACAAAAAUCAUUUAUCAAACGCCAAAAAGCUGAGAAGAACGCACAAAAUAACGAAAGACUGUAACAUAAUGAUCAUGGAUUUAUAGCCCCAAGGUUGUGACUGGUGGAAAUACCUCUUUCUAUGUCAUAAAAUGCCAUUAAAAUUUAAGUGUCAAGUUUUCUGCUGCUUCUCGAAAGCAAAAGGUAAGAAGUCUCUCACCAUUGUGUCUGCUUGAAUAAAGUAUGAUUUGUUCCAACCUCAAUUAGAUAGCGGCAUCAUCUAAUUUGCAAGCGACGUCAUGUAAUUGCAAGUAGUAAUAUUGAUUCCUCGAGUGCAGGAGGAGAAAGUAACACUGAUUUCAUCUGAUUUGCUAUUUGGCAGGGACCAAGGAAGAAGAUUCAUCUUGCUGUAUUGGCCCGUAUAAAGCAAUCAACAGCACAAGCAAGCACAUUGCAACCAUGUGCAUUAGGUUAUAGGUGAAGAAUGUUUAUGAAUCUGGGAUUAAGAAUCAGUAAUUCGAUUUGAAAAACCUAGGAAUGUAACAAAUUGAUGGUUAUUGGAUACAGUUUGUGAACAUACGGACAAUGAUGCCAUGCCAUGAAAUAAAUGCUUGUUUUAUAGCACCUCCGUCGAAUAAAGAUAUGCUUGUUUCUAUUUUUAAACGGAGUCAAAAAAUGC
rnacentral:lncRNA from 1 species